rnacentral:rRNA from 1 species
UACGGAGGGUGCAAGCGUUGUCCGGAUUUAUUGGGUUUAAAGGGUGCGUAGGCGGCCCAUUAAGUCCGUGGUGAAAGCCAACAGCUCAACUGUUGAACUGCCAUGGAUACUGAUGGGCUUGAGUACAGACGAGGUAGGCGGAAUGGAUGCUGUAGCGGUGAAAUGCAUAGAUAGCAUCCAGAACCCCGAUUGCGUAGGCAGCUGACUAGGCUGGUACUGACACUGAGGCACGAAAGCGUGGGGAGCGAACAGG